UUAAACCAAACAAAAAAUGAAAACAAUCAUUCUCAUUUCCAUUUUUUUUCAUUCCAAUUCCCAUUCCCAACCUUUAACCAAACGACCCCUUAAAAUUUUCCGGCGAUAAGACAUCCCGGCAACCGCACAUUAUUCUGAGGUGCAGAUAAUCAAUAAUGAGCACAAUGUUGGCCAAUGUACUUUGAAAGCGGAUGAAGUCAAGGUUGAUGACUGAUGAGAGCAGACUAAUAGAUUUUGCUAGGGUUGUGAAGCGUGUCCAUACGACGGGAGGUAGAAGCAUUCGAACUGUUAGGGUGAUAACCAAUAUAGAGCAAGUAGUCAAGCUCUGAAAUUCGAGAACUUAAUGUUCAUGCUCUGCUGUCAAGACAUCCUCACGUUAACGAUUACAAGGCAUCAAAGAGAAGUUGAAGUGUGUUAGAUAGAAUGAUAAGGCUCUCUUAUAGAGAGGAAGGCUUGUGGACUAGAAAGUUGCAUUGCUAUGAUUCAAUGAAGGAGCAUUUUUUCUAUUUGGCAGAUAUCAAAUUCAACAUGGCUCGUCAAAGAGGACAGUCUUGUGAAUACUGAGUUGAAGGUAUCUGAGGAUAGGGAGGUUGUGAUUGUUGAGAGUUUUGACACGGCCGGCGCGAGGGUUGUAGAUAUCAGCUCGUAAUGGGUCGUUGAUGUUGUGUUUCAGCCUGAGUGUGCAGUAAGUUUCCUCUACACCAUUAGUUCUAAUUCUACCUCCACGGCUCCUCUCUAAUUCUCGCAUUGCUUGUGCUUCUUGUUCUUCUCGUUCUUCUUCUUGGCUUCUUCGUGGGACUAGCAUCUCAAGAUCAUCCACCACACUCACAAUAAUGCCUCUGUUAUCAUUUUCGCCUCUCAUUUUUCUUGCAAGAUCAGUGUUAAUGUUGAAAGCUUCGGCUAUCAUUCGCUCGUCAAUGCCUCGGAAGACAUUGCCGGACCUUUCUGUCUGGCCUCUGCUGCUUGGUCCUCUUUCUCUCGGGCUUCUUACUGAACGUUCACCUCUUUGGCUCUGUACUUCUCGUUGAGGGUUACCAGCAAGGAAAAAGUCCUGAAAUUACAAAUUUAUAUUUAUCAAUGUCAAAACAUUAACUCUGAUAAAAAUUCAAUUAUGGUGUGAUUCUUACUCUGUGAUUCUGAUCAAGUUGGUUAUUAGGAUUGCUGGUGUCGAUGAUUUGGACAAGAACAAGAGGGGUUCUGCCACUGUUGUAGAUCCAUUGAGCUACUCCUUCAGGUAAGGCGAUGACAUCACCUGAGCGGAUUCGACGAACCUUCUGAUGCUGAUCUCUCUGGCUCUGUUCAUGGCCUGCUCUGAACUGGGACUGUGAUGAUUCUGUUGGUGUCUGGUAAGUCUCAGGACAACCUGGGAAUACAGCUCCCUGAAUACCAUUUCCUGCAUUUAGCCAUUUAGAAAAAAAUUACAUCAGUACUAAUUUUUGCACAAAUGAGAAAAAAAUAUAGGUAAUUGUUACACAAAUUAUGAAUUGUAAGAUAUUUUGUAAUUCUAAUAUGAGCUUUCAACUUUUGACAAUAUAAAAUACGAACUAAUGUUGUACACUUCUAGCAAAUGCUGAUGUGUACAUCACUACAUAUACUAUUCUGGCAUUCACAUACAUUCAUAUUCUCUUAUCAGAAAACUACUCAGUGUUAAAUUGUUCAAAUUAAAAGUUCGUAUUAAAAUUGGAAUCAUAAUUUAUUUUGCAAUUCGCAAUAGAAUAUAUGAUAUACAUAAAACACAAUGUGAAAGAGAAAACCGAACCUCGGACAACAUAAAUGAGCUUAGGUCCAUUGACAUAUUGUGGCAACAGUAAUCCUUUCUGUUGAAUAGUAUGGCGCAUAGCUACAACACCGGCGCAUUGGAACUGUUGAUCAUUCUCGUCCCAGAUUUCUGUCAGACCCGCUUCCGAUUGCAACUGGCGAGACGGCUCAACAGCAUUGAUCCGGUUGAGCUGGCAUUCACUCCUUUGCCAUCGCUGUUGUCGCUGUUGCCUUUCUUCUCUGCUAACUUGCUGCUCAAGCUGAGCAAAACUGACACUGAAAAUGAUAAGUAAGCAAAGAGUAACAGAGAGCAAAGAAGAGUAACCCAUUGAGCCUGUAACUGUAUUACAGUUAAUAUUUUGAAGUGAUGAAGUUGGCAGAGAAAUAAGGUUGUAUUUAUAGAGAGCAAAAUAAAUGUUGGGGCUGGACGUGGCGAAUCGAAGUGUUUUGUUUCAGGGUACGUGGUAGUGAUCAUCUAUGAAUAAGAAUUUAGUUUUGCAUUGUUUAA